ACUUAAGAAUGAAUUUGUCACAUUUUGAUAUGAGGCAUUAUUAUGAAUACCUUUGGGCAAUUUAAGUAAAUGUACUUUACCUAUUACAUAUUUUACAUCGUUAUUGGAGUACAAUUUACCAUACAUGUUAACUGUACAGAAGGUUGUAAAAAGGUCUCAUGACAUUGUAAAUGAAGCUUUAAAAUAUCUAUGUAUUCAAUUAAAUAUACUUUUUGUAUUUGUAUAUGAAAACAAAACAAACCAAUUGAAAUUGUAAAUUGUGUGAAGGCUAUAUUGAAUAUUAAUUUGAAAUAGCUGUCCUAAAUAAGUGAGCUGAGCCUUUGAUUAAAAGUUUGAUAUCUUU
rnacentral:misc_RNA from 1 species